UUAGAUUUCAUUAUUUCCCUUUAUAUACCAUUCACAGCUUUAUCAAAUUUUCCACAAUUCAUUAUUUCUCAAUUCUCAAAAUACCGAGCAAAUUACUCUUGUUGAAUUUAGCAAAAAUGGUGUCAGCAACUGUGAAGAAGAGUUCUGCUGCUGCUGCUGCUGCUAAGAAACCCAGAUCUCGAGUUUCGAGUUUUAGAAGACAUCUUCUAUUUCUUUUCAUCCUUGCUUCUCUUUCAAUUGCGAUUCGUACUAGAUAUUUGGCAG
rnacentral:lncRNA from 1 species